rnacentral:lncRNA from 1 species
ACUAUUUUUCUACUAUAUGGCCUAUAAAAUAAAUUCCAUACAUUUUGGGAUUCGGGGGUGCAUUUCAUAUGACCCGAUCAUAACAACUUCAAAUAAUAAAAUCCAUUUGAAAGAAUUUGAGGCUUGCCAUGCCAAAUAAAACCUCCAAACUCAUGGUCCUCAUUUAAUUAAUUUUAAUCCUUAGAAAUCGAGGUGUGCCAUUUAGUUGAAUUUCCAUAGCCCUCGCAAACUUGAAAGUGCGUGGUUGCUUUAGGUAUGCUAUUUUAAAAAUUACCUUCCUAAAUUGGGGUGUGAAUUUCAUGUGACCCAAAUCAAAAUUCUAAAACAUUAAGUAAAAUGUGUUUCGGAU